CCAAUUUAUUUUGUGUUUCAAUCUUCUUCCUAUAGCACUUGUGCUUGAUAAUGAUGUUGUACACAAAAUGGCUUAUGAGAUAUCUGCAUAAUGUGUAUACAAAUGAUUUUUGGUUAAUAUUUUGUAUGAUUCAUUUGGCAAAAAAGAUUCUUGUUCUCUGUGGAGCUUUAUACAACACUUCUGUCAUCAUAGCCUUUUCAAGUCUGUACAUCUACAUGGAAACGUUCGCCUACAAACUAGGGUUCACUUCGGUUAAAAAAAGUAUAUUUUACACACACAAAAUGCUUGAAGUUCAAUUACUGAUUCUUAGUAAGUACACUCUGUUUUGGGGAGUGCACAUCUUGCUUAGAAAACAUGGGUAAGUUCAUGAAGAGAAAAAUCAUACGUUGAAAAUCUAGGAAAGCGGUAAUCCAUAGGCCCAUGCUGCAGUGCUGAUGCAUACAUGCCUGCUUCUACCUGCAGUUUUACUAGUUGUUUGUUGAACAUUCCACUGUGUGUUUUUAGAUGCUAAGUGUCAGUGCCAUGGUUGAUGGUGGUAUACAUCGAAAACAAUGAAUUGUUGCAGUGUAGCUAAAAUAGAGCAUCACAGGCUAAUUAAUUGUAGUUUCUUGUUGCGCAUUUGCGCAAUGACAGUUUGUGUGCACCAUGUGUGUAAGAAUGUUGUUGCUGGAUGGCCACAAAACAUAGCUUAAUUAGUCUCUGCAAUACAAUGGUUGGCUGGAGAUUUCUUUUUACUUGUCCAGAGAAAAUUAUAUCUAUACUAUAUGUAUCAGUUCAUGAUAUAAUUUUUCAUCAGUUUGUAAUUCUGUCUUCUUAUGAUAGAUAAAUAUACUAGUUUGGAUCUUCAUUAGUUUCUCAGUCUUCAAUCUCAUUUUCUUCUUCAGUAUGUCUUGUCCCUAUGUCAUUCUCAGUAAUUGUUUAGUAUUAGAUAUUCUGGUUAUCAUUCAGAGAUAAGAUGUGAGUGUUUGGUGUUUCACUCCGUCCGGUGGGGAGGCGCCUCAGCCGCUCUCCUAUGGGCUGUCUGGUCUGCCGCCUUCUCCGUCCGGUGGGCAGUAGACCUCUUGGCCGCUCUGCGGUGGUCCCUCUUGCCGUCCCUCUGCAUGGUCGUAUUGUGCUGAUGCUGAUGCUGCUGCAGCUGCAGCUGCUGCAUCUUUGCGGUGGGCUUGCAGUUUCCUCAUUGCCCUGCUUGAUUUCUUAUGUGAUGUCGCAGACAAGAAAGUUUCUGAGUACGCGAUGCGUCGAUGGACGGAUCCCAGGCGGCCAAACGCGACAUGUUUUGUCCUGCGCCUAGAAGCUUUGGAGGCAGUACUUCCUCGACCGAUCCAGCAGUGCUAGUUCAUAUAGAACUUGAAAUUACCUAUCUGCCACGGGGAUGUACUGCCCUCAGUCCUCAACAAAACUAGUAGUACAGAAUCAAGAAUGUUGGAAAAGAGACGAGCGAGAGAGACAACAAAUGAUUCAACUGUUCUCUUCAUUGAUGAUGAUUUACAUUAUAUAUCCCCUGAGGGGACGCAUCCACCGGACGCGGCGUUUGGAAGAGAAGGGAGAGAAAGAUGCGACGGUUAGCAUAUGGCUAACUGCCUCCUAAUUACAACGUGGGGAUUAUCCACAUAAUUAAUUGUAACACUCCCCCUAAUCUACACUUGUUCAUGCAAAAUCAUCAUCUUGAUUAGAGACUCCUCCAAAAACCCUGUGGGAAAAAUAUGAGGAGUAUAGUGUUUUAUAUGUUGCCAAAACUCCUUUAAACCCGGUGCGAAAAAUAAGGAGAAAAUGACGCAAUAUAUAAUGGUUAUCGUCUCUUUUAACUCAA